AUGUCAGCAGAAAGCGGCAUCCAUGGAUCGAGCGACUCGAAUCAAAACCGGAAAAGAAAUGUAGUAGCAGCAGCAUCAGCAGCAAGAGCAGCGACUAGCAAUCCGCGGUAUAGCAUGAAACAGAACCAAAUAAACGUGGACAUAGCAUAGAAGGGACCCAAAAAGUCAUGCACAUUACCUACGGGAUUCAUAGAUAUUUAACUACAUAGUUCAAUGUGCACAUUUUGUGCACAUAGAGGCGUUGAUGGAUGAAAACAUCUUAAAAUGACGCGAUGACUGCUCUCGGGUUCCUCUCUGUGUAAACGUAGUCAUACACACGCAUACACACAUAAAAGCACGCUAUAGAAAACAUCAUUGGCUUGUUCUUUUUCGCUGCACUGCUGUAUUGGUGCAACAGGUUAGAGUAAGGGCCUAAACACAAUGCCAAGCAAUAGGAACAGAAAUAAUGAAAGAGAGAAAUAGAGAAAAGAU